AUGUACCACCCGUACACUGCGGUUCUGAGCGCGCCGUCCGCGCCCGCCUUACGGCUGCUGCCUACGUUUUGUUAGCC
rnacentral:sRNA from 1 species